GAAGGCCUCUGGGCUGUAAACCUCUUUUCUCAAGGAAGAAGAUCUGACGGUACUUGAGGAAUAAGCCACGGCUAAUUCCGUGCCAGCAGCCGCGGUAAUACGGGAGUGGCAAGCGUUAUCCGGAAUCAUUGGGCGUAAAGCGUCCGCAGGCGGCCUUGAAAGUCUGUCGUUAAAGCGUGGAGCUUAACUCCAUUUCAGCGAUGGAAACUACAAGGCUUGAGUGUGGUAGGGGCAGAGGGAAUUCCCGGUGUAGCGGUGAAAUGCGUAGAUAUCGGGAAGAACACCAGUGGCGAAGGCGCUCUGCUGGGCCAUAACUGACGCUCAUGGACGAAAGCCAGGGGAGCG
rnacentral:rRNA from 1 species